AGUGAACGCUGGCGGUAGGCCUAACACAUGCAAGUCGAACGGCAGCACAGUAAGAGCUUGCUCUUACGGGUGGCGAGUGGCGGACGGGUGAGGAAUACAUCGGCAUCUACUUUUUCGUGGGGGAUAACGUAGGGAAACUUACGCUAAUACCGCAUACGACCUACGGGUUAAAGCAGGGGAUCUUCGGACCUUUCGCGAUUGAAUGAGCCGAUGUCGGAUUAGCUAGUUGGCGGGGUAAAGGCCCACCAAGGCGACGAUCCGUAGCUGGUCUGAGAGGGUGAUCAGCCACACUGGAACUGAGACACGGUCCAGACUCCUACGGGAGGCAGCAGUGGGGAAUAUUGGACAAUGGGCGCAAGCCUGAUCCAGCCAUACCGCGUGGGUGAAGAAGGCCUUCGGGUUGUAAAGCCCUUUUGUUGGGAAAGAAAAGCAGCAGGUUAAUACCCCGCUGUUCUGACGGUACCCAAAGAAUAAGCACCGGCUAACUUCGUG
rnacentral:rRNA from 1 species